GAUGAACGCUGACGGCGUGCCUAAUACAUGCAAGUCGAGCGAACGGACGAGAAGCUUGCUUCUCUGAUGUUAGCGGCGGACGGGUGAGUAACACGUGGAUAACCUACCUAUAAGACUGGGAUAACUUCGGGAAACCGGAGCUAAUACCGGAUAAUAUUUUGAACCGCAUGGUUCAAAAGUGAAAGACGGCCUUGCUGUCACUUAUAGAUGGAUCCGCGCUGCAUUAGCUAGUUGGUAAGGUAACGGCUUACCAAGGCAACGGUGCAUAGCCGACCUGAGAGGGUGAUCGGCCACACUGGAACUGAGACACGGUCCAGACUCCUACGGGAGGCAGCAGUAGGGAAUCUUCCGCAAUGGGCGAAAGCCUGACGGAGCAACGCCGCGUGAGUGAUGAAGGUCUUCGGAUCGUAAAACUCUGUUAUUAGGGAAGAACAUAUGUGUAAGUAACUGUGCACAUCUUGACGGUACCUAAUCAGAAAGCCACGGCUAACUACGUG
rnacentral:rRNA from 1 species